rnacentral:rRNA from 1 species
UACGUAGGUGGCAAGCGUUGUCCGGAAUUAUUGGGCGUAAAGCGCGCGCAGGCGGUCCUUUAAGUCUGAUGUGAAAGCCCACGGCUCAACCGUGGAGGGUCAUUGGAAACUGGGGGACUUGAGUGCAAGAGAGAAGAGUGGAAUUCCACGUGUAGCGGUGAAAUGCGUAGAGAUGUGGAGCAACACCAGUGGCGAAGGCGACUCUUUGGCCUGUAACUGACGCUGAGGCGCGAAAGCGUGGGGAGCAAACAGG